UACGUAGGGGGCGAGCGUUGUCCGGAUUUACUGGGCGUAAAGGGCGCGCAGGCGGUUCCGUAAGUCGGCCGUGAAAUCUCCCGGCUCAACUGGGAGGGGUCGGUCGAAACUGCGGGGCUUGGAAGGCGGUAGGGGAGGAUGGAAUUCCCGGUGUAGUGGUGAAAUGCGUAGAUAUCGGGAGGAACACCGAUGGCGAAAGCGAUCCUCUGGGCCGUUCUUGACGCUGAGGCGCGAAAGCGUGGGGAGCGAACUGAAUUAGAUACUCAGGUAGUCCACGCCCUAAACGAUGGACACUAGGUGUAGGGGGUAUCGACCCCCCCUGUGCCGCAGCUAACGCAAUAAGUGUCCCGCCUGGGGAGUACGGCCGCAAGGCUAAAACUCAAAGGAAUUGACGGGGGCCCGCACAAGCAGCGGAGCGUGUGGUUUAAUUCGACGCAACGCGCAGAACCUUACCAGGGCUUGACAUGCAGCUGCAAGGCCUAGAGAUAGGUCCCUCCCGCAAGGGACGGCUGCACAGAUGCUGCAUGGCU
rnacentral:rRNA from 1 species